UACGGAGGGUGCAAGCGUUAUCCGGAUUCACUGGGUUUAAAGGGUGCGUAGGUGGUUGGGUAAGUCUGAUGUGAAAUCUCCGGGCUCAACCCGGAAAUGGCAUUGGAUACUAUCCAGCUCGAGGAUCGGAGGGGGGACUGGAAUUCUUGGUGUAGCAGUGAAAUGCGUAGAUAUCAAGAGGAACACCAGUGGCGAAGGCGAGUCCCUGGACGACUCCUGACACUGAGGCACGAAAGCUAGGGGAGCAAACAGG
rnacentral:rRNA from 1 species